AUCAUAGACUAUCAGGGUUGGAAGGGACCUCAGGAGGUCAUGUAAUCCAACCCCACACUGAAAGCAGGAUCAAUCUGCAGACAGACUUUUGCCCUAGAUCUCUAAAUGGCCCCCUUAGGAAGUGAACUCACAACCCUGGGUUUAGCAGGCCAAUGCUCAAACCUCUAAGCUAUCCCUCUCUCCCAUAGUGGAUAUUAUAAAAUAUG